GUCACUUGGAUGAAUGACGAAACGUUUCUCCCACUGAAAACGCUGCGUCCAGAUGAACAGAAUCAACCUUUGGAGAUGGUAGUUCUAUUUUGAUUUCUUGAGCAUUUGGGGAGCGAUCAUGGAAGUGAAGUGAGUGUGUUAUGUCAUCUUAACCUCAUAAAGUUCAAUAUUUCUGUGUUGACAAACAAAACGUUUGUCAACACCUUUUAUGAGCAUUCAAAUACAAACAAAACAUGAGCCUCAAACUAUGAAACUCAGUGCAACAAAUGAGAGUACAGUUGUGACCGCUGUGUGUGGAAAAACUUGCUGAGACUUUAUCCGGACUGUUAAAGGAACAGGGAAGAUCAAGUCAACAAUGAAACAGUGUUUCAAAAGUGGAAACAAGCACCAGAAUUUGUGUGUUUGUUCCUGUGGCACACUUUUUUUGGAAAUGAUCCAACUUGGCAAACACUUAAAGUUUAGGGAAAAAGUAUUUUACUGCAGCAUCUCUGAGUUAAAAAAAAAAUCUGUGUUUUUGACUAUAUUAAAGUGAAACUAGUAGCUGGACUGGUGCUUACACUACCCGUCAAAUGUUUGGACACACCUUCUCAUUUAAUGUUUUUUCUUUAUUUUCAUGACUGUUUACAUUGUAGUUUCUCACCAAAGGCAUCAAAACUAUGAAUGAACACACAUGGGGAUUAUGUAGUAAACAAAAGUGUUGAAUAACUCAAAACCUGUUUUAUAUUUUAGAUUCUUCCAAAUAACCAGCCUUUACUUUGAAUAUGGCUUUACACACUCUUGGAACUCACGUGAUGAGCUUCAUGAAGGAGUCACCUGAAAUGGUUUUUCUUGGCUCCUCUUUUCCACACUGUAAAAUAACUCUUACACUUACGCUUAUCUCAGUUUAAUUAACUUAGAUUUAUUAGUUAAUUCAAAUGCUUUUACAGUUUUUAACUUUGAGAAUCAGUUUCAGGUUAAUUAGAACAAUCUGUUGAUUAAACUCUUAACUUAGUUUAGUUGAUUAAGGUCUGUUAAUUACCCAAACGUCUAGUGUGAACUUGUAAAUCAGUUUUAUUUGAUCUAUAAAGGUUACUGGACCAAGAUGUUUUUUUUGUGUAUGAACUUAAGAUCUUUAAGCCUUCAACAUCAACUUCAGCAAACCUGUUAGGUUUACCGCAAAUCUUACAUUUAAAUUUGUGUUUAAAUUGAUUUUUAGUUAUUCAUACAUUAUAAAAAAUGAAUAAAUAAAACAGAUUCAAGUUUAUCUCAUUAUUUCACGCAUCAAGUUUGUUACAAGGACUCAACAAUUAUUUCAUUUAUUGCUCCAUCUUACUCAUGUUAGAAACAGAUAUCAGAAAAAUCAUUAAUGUUCCUUUUUGGGUUCACAAUCCAUCCAUUUAUUUACUCAUUAGGUAAUGGCUUUGUGCAUGUUUAAUUAAAUUCUGACCAAUACUCCGGGAGGAAUAACGAUUCUUGUGAACUGUGGACAGCUGGACAACAGAACCUUUACCAUGGCAUGAGCUAAAAAAACUGCUGCAUUAAAGUUCACAGCAUAAACACUGUACUGCAGAUCAGUGUGUGAAUAUAAACCAUAAAACACCUCAAACUCUGGUAUGUGACUUCAUUUACAACCUCAAUAAAUUCCAGAGA
ensembl:lncRNA